ACACAUUUUCGAUCAUCUUAGGAACUGAGACACAGCUCCUCUAUCCAUCUCCAGGCGGGUCUGCCCACAUGCAGAUACGCCCACAUACGAGUACCCGGCGUGAUGACAUCAUCGCACCAACCCCAUCACAUACACCCCGUACAAAUACAGGUGUAUGUGACAGGGUUGGCACCAUAAUGUACUUAUGCGGACCAGUCACACAUGUGUAGAGAGCAGCUACUGUGUUGAAAGCAGCAGUAUUGGAGGUAAAACGACACUUCAUGAAUUAUAAUUACUGGGUAAAUGUAAAAUCAUGUACUGUAAAAUCAUCAACUAC